GGUGGUUCUCGGGUGAUGCAACCUGAAAUCAGGCUCCCUCCUCUCUGGUUCCAGGUGUGUAACCCAAGAACUGCA
rfam:Myotis davidii contig21940, whole genome shotgun sequence.